CAUCCCAGAUCUGCAAAACUAUGUGGUCCCACCAGUCUGUGCUUGUUUCCUGGGCCCAAAAUUGGCGUUCCACGGCAUGAACCUGGCCCAACACCACCAUGAUCUCCCAAUCGCUGCAUGCUGUGCUUCUAGGAACAGAGGUGUCCAUGUCCUCAUCAGUACAGUAAUCGCGCUGUCGUCGCUUCCUCGCCCAUUUUUGCAGAAACUUCACAUACUGCUGGAUAAUGCAUGAGGUAUUUACAAUGGUCAAGACUGCAGCAGAGAUCUGAGUGGGCUACAUACUUGCCGCGCUAUGGUGCCUGCAUGGGUAAUCCUGGAAAAAUGGCAUGAAACGUAGGAGAGCUGUUCGGUUCAAGAUGGCUGAUAAAAGGCGGGAAAUGGUUUCCUUCUGUAGCUUUCACUGGAGCCCAGCACCAACAACAUGGAGAAAUUUGCUACUGAUGCAAGAAUGGGAGAGCAGAGUUUGCAGCGGAAGCUGUGCUGCUCGGUUGACGAUGGCUGAACAACGGCGGGAAAUGAGACCCAGAGGUGCUGACAAAGCUGCCAGACGCCAGGAUCUCCGAGGAGCUGGGGGUGCUGCCACUAGCUGUCUAUCCCAGCGAAGCGAACAACAACCCUGGAACCCAUGUACACACGGAAUGGGUGUGUCGGAUGGAGCCAAGGGAAGCAGAAUUAGGUUUGGCUGUGUUAUUGACUACAAGCCAGCCAGCGUGUUGCGGCUGGACUUUCCCCGCUGACCCAGUGGCGGACAACUCCACCGCUGUUAGGGUCCUGGGCUGGGAUGCAGUGGAAUGGGAGGACCUGAGUUCCUCUGCCCCUACCACCUCAACGUCAGGAGUGGCAGCCUCCCCCCUGGUUGUCAGGAGGCCUGAAUUGGUCUGGCACCCGCCUGAAUCCAGAUGCCAGACGGUUGUGCUGACUCUCUCACCAGAGAGCUAACCUCCCAUAGACUGCGACAGCUUUGCCGGACUGUAGGCCAGAGCCCCCCUACUUGACUGCUGCCCUACCCUGAUCAAGGGCCAGGCAAAUGGACCUCCUGCUGCUCUGCCUGCCUGACUGUAGGCCAGAUCCCCUUCUCGACUGACGCCCUGCCCUGAUUGAGGGCCCCGGGCAAACAGACUCUCUACCGUUACUUGGCCUGACUGCAGGCUAGAGCCAUUAACACUGAGCUAAUUUUCCCCUGAACCAAGGUACCCCCGGAAGUAUCAUAGCAAGGGGUGUGGUCUCCCACCCAGAUGGACGGACGGUGGGGCCUGGGGGGGGACUGCAAACCCUUUACAGCCUCUCUUUCUACUCAUUCGUACUUUUUCUCUAAAUAUGUCAAAACACAAGCACACAACCUUCCCCCAGCCAAACACAGAAAAAUAAUACAAAAUAAAUUUUCAAAAUGGCCGACGGCAUCAAAAA